rnacentral:rRNA from 1 species
GAUGAACGCUGGCGGCGUGCCUAAUACAUGCAAGUCGAGCGAACGGACGAGAAGCUUGCUUCUCUGAUGUUAGCGGCGGACGGGUGAGUAACACGUGGAUAACCUACCUAUAAGACUGGGAUAACUUCGGGAAACCGGAGCUAAUACCGGAUGAUAUUUUGAACCGCAUGGUUCAAAAGUGAAAGACGGUCUUGCUGUCACUUAUAGAUGGAUCCGCGCUGCAUUGCUAGUUGGUAAGGUAACGGCUUACCAAGGCAACGAUGCAUAGCCGACCUGAGAGGGUGAUCGGCCACACUGGAACUGAGACACGGUCCAGACUCCUACGGGAGGCAGCAGUAGGGAAUCUUCCGCAAUGGGCGAAAGCCUGACGGAGCAACGCCGCGUGAGUGAUGAAGGUCUUCGGAUCGUAAAACUCUGUUAUUAGGGAAGAACAUAUGUGUAAGUAACUGUGCACAUCUGGACGGUACCUAAUCAGAAAGCCACGGCUAACUACGU